rnacentral:lncRNA from 1 species
UUUCUACCUACGCCAUUACUUAAAGGGGUCGAAAUAUAGAACAUGAUAGUAUAGAAUAAAACAAUUGAAUAAGUUUUCAUCAAUGAUAAUAAAUUGCAAAAUAUUGUAGAUCUAAGUAACAUUGUCGUAUUUCCUUCUAUAAAUUAUGUGUAAUUAGUACACAUUAAAUCUUGUUAUUCUUUCUUUUUUGUUCUUUUAAGUGUCAUUGCCAUUGAUUUGUGGGGGGUGGGGGGGUGUUCAUGAAUGAAUUAACACUAAAUUACUACAAUUAUGGGAGAUUUAUAUGCACUACCAGAAGAAAGACUUUAGCCGACGAAAAAAAAAACCAGGCCGACGAAUCAAUUUUUCGUCGGCUAAUUUAUAUUUUCGUCGAAUAUAGUCAACUUUAACCGACGAAAUUAAAAUUUCGUCGGCUAAAGAAUUUAUUUCGUCGGCUAAAGUCUGUGACUUUAGACGACAACUUUAAACAUUCUUUACUAUAGCCGACGAAAAUAAAUUUCGUCGGCUAAAGUUCUUUAUAUUCGCAGAUUUGGACAGCAGCUCAUCUGAGAAAAAAAAACGGGAGAAGAAAAAACGGGAAAAAAAGUUUGGGUGUUGUUGAAAUCUGUCCAUAAUUAUGAAGUGGAGCUAUAUAUAGGUACGUACAUGUGUAUAUAUGUUGAUUUUGAGUUUUAUUUGAGUUUAUCGAUUUUGAGUGUGAUUGAAUUGAUAGAUUUUGAGUGUAAUUAUGUGUGUUGAUCGAUUUGGUUAAUGAUUUGAUAAUAUAUAUGAAGUUGUUGUUAAUAAGUAGUAGAUAUAUA